UACGUAGGGGGCUAGCGUUGUCCGGAAUUAUUGGGCGUAAAGGGCUCGUAGGCGGUCUGUCGCGUCGAAAGUGAAAACUCAGGGCUUAACCCUGAGCCUGCUUCCGAUACGGGCAGACUAGAGGUAUGCAGGGGAGAACGGAAUUCCUGGUGUAGCGGUGAAAUGCGCAGAUAUCAGGAGGAACACCGGUGGCGAAGGCGGUUCUCUGGGCAUUACCUGACGCUGAGGAGCGAAAGUGUGGGGAGCGAACAGG
rnacentral:rRNA from 1 species